rnacentral:rRNA from 1 species
CCUACGGGUGGCUGCAGUGGGGAAUAUUGGGCAAUGGACGCAAGUCUGACCCAGCAACGUCGCGUGAAGGAAGAAGGCUCUCGGGUUGGUAACUUUCUUUAAGGGGGGAGAGCAGAAGACGGUACCUCUUGAAUAAGCUAUGGCUAACUACGUGCCAGCAGCCGCGGUAAUACGGAGGUGGCAAGCGUUGUCCGGAUUUACUGGGUGUAAAGGGCGUGCAGCCGGGGAGACAAGUCAGAUGUGAAAUCCACGGGCUCAACCCGUGAACUGCAUUUGAAACUGUUUCCCUUGAGUGUCGGAGAGGUAAUCGGAAUUCGUGGUGUAGCGGUGAAAUGCGUAGAUAUAACGAAGAACACCGGUGGCGAAGGCAGAUUACUGGACGAUAACUGACGGUGAGGCGCGAAAGCGUGGGGAGCAAACAGGAUUAGAUACCCCAGUAGUC